ACUGGCAAAAAAAAUAAAAUAAAAAUAUUCUAAAAGUAAAACUAGUGAAAACCCAGGUAUCACACAUUGUGCUUUACAGCUUAUAAAGAGGACAGAUUGCUGAAGGUAGUCAAUUGUGACCAAGGAUUACAUAACCCUCCUGGCAUGCGCACACACAUAUUUUUCCCACCCAAAUAAAAUAUAAACAGCCUGACAGCACAGGAAAUUCUACAAGUGGGUUUGUCUUUCAAUUCCUAUUGGCAAACAACCUGUUCAGCAGAUAAGCUGUAUUCCUGCUUUCAAAUGUGCUAUGUGGUAGAAACACCAUCUCAAAGCUUAUCACUGCUGUGAGAAAUUGCAGUGCUCAUUCAAUUUCA